UGAGUUUGAUCAUGGCUCAGAUUGAACGCUGGCGGCAGGCCUAACACAUGCAAGUCGAGCGGUAACAGGACUAGCUUGCUAGUUGCUGACGAGCGGCGGACGGGUGCGUAACACGUAGGAAUCUGCCCGGUAGUGGGGGAUAGCCCGGAGAAAUCCGGAUUAAUACCGCAUACGCCUUACGAGGGAAAGGAGGGGACUCUUCGGAGCCUUUCGCUAUCGGAUGAGCCUGCGUCGGAUUAGCUAGUUGGUGGGGUAAAGGCCUACCAAGGCGACGAUCCGUAGCUGGUCUGAGAGGAUGAUCAGCCACACUGGGACUGAGACACGGCCCAGACUCCUACGGGAGGCAGCAGUGGGGAAUAUUGCACAAUGGGGGAAACCCUGAUGCAGCCAUGCCGCGUGUGUGAAGAAGGCUCUAGGGUUGUAAAGCACUUUCAGCGAGGAGGAAAGGUUGCUGGUUAAUACCCAGCGGCUGUGACGUUACUCGCAGAAGAAGCACCGGCUAACUCCGUGCCAGCAGCCGCGGUAAUACGGAGGGUGCGAGCGUUAAUCGGAAUUACUGGGCGUAAAGCGUGCGUAGGCGGCCAUGUAAGUUGGAUGUGAAAGCCCCGGGCUC
rnacentral:rRNA from 1 species